UUUGUGCGGCUGCAGGAGGUCACAAGAUCCAUGCUUGGGUGUGGACUUUCCAGCCGGGCAAAUCGGGAGCGGGGGUUGCCCACUCUUUGUUAUGUCCAACUCUUCCAACAGUCUACAUAAAUGGAAUGUGCCAGAUACUCUUGGACUUAAGGAUAUGUGCUUGAGACUUACCCACACUAAACCUAUGUGCUUGUUCUUUUUCAUUGGACAUCUUGCCCAAGGAGAAACAUCAGCAAAUUAUGGUGCAUCUGGAAGAGAAAAGACUCCAGAAUAAAGAAGAAACAGAGAACUAAUUUAUGUAAGAAUUGAGAGAUCCAGGAUAUGCCUCCUUCCAACUCCUGCUCCAUUUCAUGGGUCCAGCGUUUUGCCCCACCAAUACCAGCUUGCUGCCCCUGAGAAGACCCCUGCAGCCACAUCACCUGGAAUCCUUAGUCCUUACCUGUCCUUCCAACCUUUUUCCAUCAUCCUUGGAAUACACAACAGAGAGAUGACAUGCAAACACGGAGGAUGAAAAUGGACAGGUUGGGUCAUUGAAGGGUUGCAUGAAUUUAUUGUAUUCACAAGGAAAUGCUAUGAUUAUAUUAAAUAUAAACUUUCAUUUCUUUGA